rnacentral:rRNA from 1 species
CCCUUAGAUGUUCUGGGCCGCACGCGCGCUACACUGAUGCAGUCAACGAGCCUAUCCUUGACCGACAGGUCCGGGUAAUCUUUGAAUCUGCAUCGUGACGGGGAUAGAUUAUUGCAAUUAUUAAUCUUCAACGAGGAAUGCCUAGUAGGCGCAAGUCAUCAGCUUGCGUCGAUUACGUCCCUGCCCUUUGUACACACCGCCCGUCGCUCCUACCGAUUGGGUGUGCUGGUGAAAUGUUCGGAUCGUCCGUUUGUCGCGGUUUCCGCGUCAUGUGGCUGAGAAGUUCAUUAAACCCUCCCACCUACAGGAAGGAGAAGUCGUAACA